ensembl:lncRNA
CAGACAGUACGCAAAAUGCCUAUGUCCUGUUGUGUUUACGGAUGCUCCAGUAGGUCGACCAGAGAAACUGAUAAACGGUAUUUUAGGGUACCAAAAACAGCCCAACGAAGAGGAGAAAAAUGGAAAAUUCUAACCGAAAAACGUAGGAAAAAAUGGAUUUUAAAUUUACGUUUACAGUCGGGAGGAGCAGAGUCUGCCAAUGCCCGUGUCUGCAGCGACCACUUCGUCAGAGGCUGCCCAAGUGCUUUGGAUGACGAAGAGUCGGAGGACUGGGCUCCGACGGUCAAUCUCGGCUACGAACGAAAACCCAGAUCAGAAUCAGUUCUCAAACGAGAGAAAAGAAUGAAGCUUAAGGCAGAACAGCAUCGAUGUGCAGAGGCGAUUUUGGAUAUGCAACAGACGGCUGAGAGCCCGGAUUUGAGCCUAGUGACAGUGGAGAACCCCGAACUGCAGCUUCCAGCUGAGAAUCCACAACCAGAAGACUUCAGUGUGAAUGAGACAUUCACUUAUCCAGGCUGUGCGGAUGCUGGAUGCCAGACAGAGCUGACGAUGGAUGACAUCGAGAAGAUGGAGGAUGUUUUGAGACAGAACACAGCAGAGCUGGUUGAUCUUCGGAGCAAGGCUCUGGACAC